UUCCUACGGGGGGCAGCAGUGGGGAAUAUUGCACAAUGGGCGAAAGCCUGAUGCAGCGACGCCGCGUGAGUGAAGAAGUAUUUCGGUAUGUAAAGCUCUAUCAGCAGGGAAGAAAAUGACGGUACCUGACUAAGAAGCCCCGGCUAACUACGUGCCAGCAGCCGCGGUAAUACGGAGGAUCCGAGCGUUAUCCGGAUUUAUUGGGUGUAAAGGGUGCGUAGACGGGAAAACAAGUUAGUUGUGAAAUCCCUCGGCUUAACUGAGGAACUGCAACUAAAACUAUUUUUCUUGAGUGUUGGAGAGGA
rnacentral:rRNA from 1 species